UGGGGAAUAUUGCACAAUGGGGGAAACCCUGAUGCAGCGACGCCGCGUGAGUGAAGAAGCGUUUCGGCGCGUAAAGCUCUGUCAGCGGGGAAGAAACACGGUUCGCAAGAGCCGCGGACGGUACCCGACCAAGAAGCCCCGGCUAACUACGUGCCAGCAGCCGCGGUAAUACGUAGGGGGCAAGCGUUAUCCGGAUUCACUGGGUGUAAAGGGAGCGUAGACGGCGAGACAAGUCUGGAGUGAAAGGCCGGGGCCCAACCCCGGGACUGCUCUGGAAACUGCCUGGCUGGAGUACAGGAGAGGUAAGUGGAAUUCCUAGUGUAGCGGUGAAAUGCGUAGAUAUUAGGAGGAACACCAGUGGCGAAGGCGGCUUACUGGACUGUAACUGACGUUGAGGCUC
rnacentral:rRNA from 1 species